rnacentral:misc_RNA from 1 species
GAGGGUUUCUAGUGGUUGCGAUGGUUUUUGUACUUUUGUGGUUCCCUUUUUUGUGUGUUUCUGGUUGUAUAUGCAGGUGACUAGCAUCAAUUUUCUGGGUUAUCUAGAUAUUGUGGUUUGUUGCCUAUGGUUAUGGCCAGUGUUUGGUUGAGGUUCUUUGUUGAGACUCUGUUCUAGGGGAUUUAUCUGAUUAGUUGGGUAUCUCUGAGGGCAACGCUACGAAGAAGCUUUCCAAUCCUUUUAUGGCUCUAUAGAGUCAGCUUGAGCUCUACCUUACCCCCUUAGAGUCAUGGAGUUGGUCCCACGGAGCUCUUAAGACGACUACUAUGGUUGGGAUCUAGCUUUCAUUGGUUAUUCGGUUCAUGCACCUGCCAGCAAGGCUUCCUCUACCUUUGCUUCCCUCUGUUUUCAAUGUUGGUUUCAAUGAUGUUUGGUUUGCACGAGGUUACGCCUAGCAUCUAGAGUUCCAGGUGGGUUUGGCUUUAGCGAGGAUGCUGUUAGGGUGUCCGGAUAUGUUACUUUGGGUUACCUUAUGGUUUCUAAUGGGUUUAGGUGUUGGGCUUGUUUCUAGUGGACUAUGGGUGCUGGUUUGGUUUGGGACCUCUCUAUGUGUAGGCUUCGCCAGGUCUAAUUAUUGUUCUCUAUCUGUUUAGGCCUUUUGUAAACUUUUGUUAUUUAAUGGAAUCUAUAUAAACU